rnacentral:rRNA from 1 species
UACGUAGGGGGCUAGCGUUGUCCGGAAUCAUUGGGCGUAAAGAGCGCGCAGGCGGCUUGGCAAGUCGGGUGUGAAAUCCCGGGGCUCAACCCCGGGACUGCAUUCGAUACUGUCAGGCUAGAGGUAGGUAGGGGAGAUCGGAAUUCCUGGUGUAGCGGUGAAAUGCGCAGAUAUCAGGAGGAACACCGGUGGCGAAGGCGGAUCUCUGGGCCUUACCUGACGCUCAGGCGCGAAAGCUAGGGGAGCGAACAGG